rnacentral:rRNA from 1 species
CCUACGGGAGACAGCAGUGAGGAAUAGUGGUCAAUGGACGAGAGUCUGAACCAGCCAAGUAGCGUGAAGGAUGACUGCCCUAUGGGGUGUAAACUUCUUUUAUAAAGGAAUAAAACGAGGCACGUGUGCCUUUUUGCAUGUACGUUAUGAAUAAGGAUCGGCUAACUCCGUGCCAGCAGCCGCGGUAAUACGGAGGAUCCGAGCGUUAUCCGGAUUUAUUGGGGUUACAGGGAGCGUAGAUGGGUUGUUAAGUCAGUUGUGAAAGUUUGCGGCUCAACCGGAAAAUUGCACUUGAUACUGGCAGUCUUGCGUACAGUUGAGGUCGGCGGCCUUCGUGGUGUAGCGG